AGNGGUGGAGCUCAGCUGGUAGGGUGCCUGCUUGGCAUGCACAAGGCCCUGGGUUCAAUUCCCAGCACAGCCU
rnacentral:tRNA from 1 species